AACGAACGCUGGCGGCGUGCCUAACACAUGCAAGUCGUGCGAGAAAGUUCCUUCGGGAGCGAGUAAAGCGGCGCACGGGUGAGUAACACGUAGGUAACCUGCCCCCCAGUCUGGAACAACUAGAGGAAACUCUAGCUAAUGCCGGAUGAGACCACAAUCCCUUCGGGGGUUGCGGCCAAAGAUGGCCUCUACUUGUAAGCUAUCGCUGAGGGAUGGGCCUGCGGGCCAUUAGCUUGUUGGUGAGGUAACGGCUCACCAAGGCUGUGAUGGCUAGCUGGUCUGAGAGGAUGACCAGCCACACUGGGACUGAGACACGGCCCAGACUCCUACGGGAGGCAGCAGUGGGGAAUAUUAGCGCAAUGGCGAAAGCCUGACGCAGCGACGCCG
rnacentral:rRNA from 1 species